GUAAAAAUUGGCUAUGGUUACACUCCUUCUAUUUAAUUGUCAAUUCCGACAGAACCGACACGACUGUGCAUCCAUUUGAAGCGAAGGAGCAAGGAUAGGGUAGGAAAGCAGCAAAGUUAUCCAAGAUUAAAUUUUUAUGAAAUGUGGGAUAUCGGUCGUCGAUACGCUCGAUGCACAAAGAACAAAUGAGAUGCCCGGUCAUGCAGGUUCGUAUUGGCGAUCUUUUCGUCGUCGGUUAGAUGAUUAUAAUAAACUCCCGAAGUGCGAGUCCCGGUGUAAGGAUCCGCAACGGAUUAUGUCAGACGAAUCGAGUUUAAAUUUUUUUAGAAUUUGGAAUAAGGUGCGUAAGUAAGGGGCACAGGGAACCAUGGAAUGAAGACUGAUACAAAAAUUAGUUUUUUCGAGCAAAGCAAUUUAUUUACAGCAAAAAGAAAAAAUAAAGAUGUACAAUUAUAUACUAUGUAACAC
rnacentral:lncRNA from 1 species